AGAGUUUGAUCCUGGCUCAGGAUGAACGCUGGCGGCAGGCCUAACACAUGCAAGUCGAACGCACCUUUCGGGGUGAGUGGCAGACGGGUGAGUAACGCGUGGGAACGUGCCCUUCAGUUCGGAAUAACCCAGGGAAACUUGGGCUAAUACCGGAUACGCCCUUUUUGGGGAAAGAUUUAUCGCUGAGGGAUCGGCCCGCGUCUGAUUAGCUAGUUGGUGAGGUAACGGCUCACCAAGGCGACGAUCAGUAGCUGGUCUGAGAGGAUGAUCAGCCACACUGGGACUGAGACACGGCCCAGACUCCUACGGGAGGCAGCAGUGGGGAAUAUUGGACAAUGGGCGCAAGCCUGAUCCAGCCAUGCCGCGUGAGUGAUGAAGGCCCUAGGGUUGUAAAGCUCUUUCGCACGCGACGAUAAUGACGGUAGCGUGAGAAGAAGCCCCGGCUAACUUCGUGCCAGCAGCCGCGGUAAUACGAAGGGGGCUAGCGUUGUUCGGAAUCACUGGGCGUAAAGGGCGCGUAGGCGGGUCUUUAAGUCGGGGGUGAAAGCCUGUGGCUCAACCACAGAAUGGCCUUCGAUACUGGGGACCUUGAGACCGGAAGAGGUAAGUGGAACUGCGAGUGUAGAGGUGAAAUUCGUAGAUAUUCGCAAGAACACCAGUGGCGAAGGCGGCUUACUGGUCCGGUUCUGACGCUGAGGCGCGAAAGCGUGGGGAGCAAACAGGAUUAGAUACCCCUGUAGUCC
rnacentral:rRNA from 2 species